rnacentral:snoRNA from 1 species
GGUCUGUGAUGAACAGUAAAAGGUCUGAUUAUCCCAAUACAGGUGCUUCCAUGACCUGUUCUCCCAGCAGUUUCUCACCAGUAAUGGCACAGUCGUGGUAUGGCUGGCAGGGUAUUUGCUGACAGCCUGGGGUGUGCUCAGUUCAUGUUAACCUGAAGGACUGGAGACUUGACUGGGAUCAGCAUCCAGCAGUCUUCACUUGAAGGAGUUUUGGGUCUUGGAUUGUUAUAACUGGACAUGUGAUCUGACUUUUCUUCUGAGACC